rnacentral:rRNA from 1 species
UACGUAGGGUGCGAGCGUUGUCCGGAUUUAUUGGGCGUAAAGAGCUCGUAGGCGGUUUGUCGCGUCGGCCGUGAAAUCUCCACGCUUAACGUGGAGCGUGCGGUCGAUACGGGCAGACUUGAGUUCGGUAGGGGAGACUGGAAUUCCUGGUGUAGCGGUGAAAUGCGCAGAUAUCAGGAGGAACACCGGUGGCGAAGGCGGGUCUCUGGGCCGUAAACUGACGCUGGAGGAGCGAAAGCGUGGGGAGCGAAC